rnacentral:lncRNA from 1 species
UUAACUUACUGAUCAUACUUAACUUAGUUGGCUAAGUCUUUGAUUUUAUUUCUAAAAAAUUGAACAAAAUAGGUAGCUUGAUUCAGAGGAUUAGGCACAUUUUACCUAGUUUUCUUUUUGUGGAAUACUGAUUUGUUGUCAUUUGGAUGCAGUGUACGUUGCCGGUUAACGUGUAGGCAUGAAGAUGAAAUGAGGUGAAACCGUUUUGGCGUGAAAUUGACGCGAAAACGAAUGAAUUGGGCCAGUGUUU